CAACUAGCAGCUUUGUCUUCAGACUCUAGAACCCGAAGGCCGAGAGUGUUCCUUCCUCGGUCGCAGUCGCAAGAUCGAAAAGUCAGUCGUGCACCCAACGCAACAUCAACAAAUUUUACUCCCUGGCCGAGCUCGGCUGAAGAGUUGGCACACCCCGCAUACAACCGAAUGACAUAGUUAGCUUACUAAUUACUCAACCUGCGCACCACGUAGAUUUAGUAGUUUUUAGGGUCAACAGCUGUACUGUGAGAAUAAGCAGCAGAGUGUUUGGUAAACUUUUUUGUAAAAGUGCUUUUGAAAAAAAAAAAAAAGCAGUAUUAUAGUGUUUGAUAAACUUUUAUGUAAAACAGAUGUGAAAAAAAAGCUGGUUUUUCAAAGCUGGGUUUUGCAACUUACCAAACCAAGGCUUAACCCAUCUCAUGUAGUCUCUGUUGCGGUUUAUAUAUUUAUAUAUUAGUUAAAAUGUAAAUAGUAGUAUGUUGUCUUACAUUUACAAAGUGCAUAUGUAAUAUCAAUUGUAACUCAUAUAUAUAUUCUACUUUAGAGAUUAAUGAAUAUACAAGAAAUUCUCAAAUAUUGUCAUAUAUAUUUUUGGUAUUUUACCAUGUUUAAUUCAACUUAGUAUCAGAGCCAGGAAGCGGGCUCGUACUGUACUGUCACGUAAUGGGUGGGUUCCCUUGGCCUCGCGCGAUAAUGGUGGGUCUCUUGGCCCUGCGUGUAGGAAGAGUCCCCUUGGCUUCACAUGGUUAUCGAGAUGUGUGGAUCUCCCACGUAUGAUCCACUAAUUGGGUCCCAUGUGAGACCGACUAAUUGGGUCCCACGUGAGGGGGUGUGUUGAAAUGUCCCACAUCAACCGUAUCAAUGAGAAAAGACAAGUUUAAAUAUCCUAACCGCACUCCAAUUAACACCGAGACUUUUUGUGAUAAAACCUCACAAAUGACGGAUUGUGCAAGUAGUAAUUUCUAAGUUUGGGACAAUAUCGAUGUUGUAGGGGACAAUUCGCUCUUGGUGAUUUGUGUGCUUUAAUUUUGUGACCAGCUUUCUUAGUAUCGUGCCAAAAAAAAGAAACGGUGAUGUGCUAAAAUACAUUACCAAAGUGCCAGAAUAGUGAUUCCGCUAUAGUGUUCUGGUAAAUUAUCUUAAUUUCGCUGCUUAUCUUUUGUGCCUUUAUUGUUCAUGUUUUAGCUAAAUGACUCAAUAUAAUCACAGUGUUGUUAUGCAUCUUGGUGGAACAAAUAUAUAGAUAAUUGAUACUGGGGCCACUCAUCAUGUGACUGGUGACCCUAAAGUGUUUGAUGAGUUACAUGACUGUAUUCGUGAUCUGUAUUUUCUAGUGCAAAUGAAGCAUCUUUUCCUGUGAAGGGUGAAGGCAUUAUCUCUCUCACUCCGACCUUAUCACUGGUCUAUGUUUUACUUGUUCUUGAUGUUAAGUGUAAUCUUUUGUUAGUAGGAAAACUACUUGAUACCUUAUAUUGUUUCGCUCACUUCUACCCCACAUAUUGUUAUUUUCAAGACAUUUAAACUCAGAAGAUAAUUGGUCGUAGUAAAAGAAUUGGGGGUUUGUACAUCUUAACUAUGGAGGAUAUUGUUGCUUCAGGUUCAAAUAAUCAUCAAGUUCUAAGUGCUAAAAUAGAUAACAAACAUCAAAUUUGGUUGUGGCAUCGACAUUUGGGACAUCCAUCAUUCAGUUAUAUGAAGCAUCUAUUUCCUUCUUUGUUUCACACUUGUAGUGAUUCAAAGUUCAAGUGUGAAACAUAUGUCAUGACCAAGAGUCAUUGUGCUUCAUUUCCCAUAAGUGAUUAUAAAGCUACUUUGCCAUUUGAUUUGAUACAUUCUAAUGUGUGGGGUCUGGCGAAGGUUACUUCUAAUGGAUUUCGUUGGUUUGUUACUUUUAUUGAUGAUUGUACUCGAUUAACUUGCGUGUUCUUGAUGAAGAAUCAGAGUGAUGUCCCUUUACUUCUUCAAAAAGUUUGUGCAAUAGUGUCUACUCAGUAUCAGACCAAAGUUAAGGUCUUCAAGUCUGAUAACGGAAGAGAAUAUGUGAAUCAAACUUUGGCAUGUUUUUUUGUAACCAUGGUAUUAUUCACCAGACAACUACUCUUUCUACACCCCAACAAAAUGGUGUGUCCGAAUGGAAGAAUUGUCAAAUAAUAGAGGUUGCUCGCUUCUUGAUGUUGGAUAAAUAUGUUCCUAAUCAUUUGUGGGGUCAUGCUAUUUUGGUUGUUGUGUACUUGAUAAAUCGUGUUCCAAUUAGGGUUCUUGAUUUUUAGACACCAUUUGAUGUGCUACAAAAACAUGUUUCUCCUAUUUCUAUAUCCAAACUUCCUCCAAAUGUGUUUGGGUGUGUGGCGUGUGUGCAUGUCUACUCUCAUCAACGGAGUAAACUUGAUGCAUGUGUUUUUCAAUGUGUAUUUAUUGGAUAUGCUAACAAUCAGAAAGACUAUAAAUGUUAUCAUUCUUCGACUUAGAAAACUUAUAUUACCAUGGAUGUCACCUUCCAUAAGGAAGUUUCUUAUUUUGUGGUGCCGACUCCCCACUUCAAGGGGAGAGGGGAGUGAAGUGCAGAUUCGAAAAGAUGGUAUGGAUGAUAUGUUAUAGGUAGAGUUAGGGACAGAACCUGUUAUGCUGUGUGAUACUGACUAGUCGGCUAUAGGUGACGAUUGGUCGUUUGUCAUUUUCAAUAUUGUUUCUACUGAUGACUCGUUAGAUGUGCCCAACGAGUUGCUUGUUAUUGGUAUGUCUGAUGAAUUGCCUUUUGAUGACUAGUUGUCUACUGCUAGGAUGACUAACAAGUUACUUGUUGAUGGUUGUCCGAUGAUGACCUUCUAAUGGUUUAGUACAAGAUGGUGAUACACAUGAGGUAAAUUUUGAUGAUUCUUCUACUUAUUAGUUGCCUCCACGAGUUAAUCAUGGAAAACCUAAAAUUAUGAGCAUGAUAUGCAUGCCAAAGCCAAGUAUCAUAUCAACAACUAUGUGUCUACUCAUCGUUUGUCCAAACCAUAUGCAUCUUACAUAUGUCAGUUAUCUAGUGUAUCAAUUCCAAGAAAUUGCAGGAUGCUUUGUCUGACCCUAAGUGAGUUAAUGUCAUGUGUUUGUACCGUAUUUGGAGCCUCCGUAUUUAGAUCUCGUAUAAAUACUUGAGGGACUCAAACGUAAUUAUGUAAUAAAUGAAGGGGCAAAUAUGUAAUAAGUGAAUAGCCCUUAUUCUAUAAAAUGACUCAUCACUCUCCUCAUUGAAAGAGGUCAAGAUUCAGACCAUGGGAAGAGAGAAAAUAGGCUAGAGAGCACAAUGCCUCUAGCCUUCUUGUAUAUUCACCAUUCAAAGUGAAACAAUAUCAACAUCAGUAUGGAUGUAGCCCAAACAUUGGGGUGAACCACGAUACAUCUUGUGUUCUUUACUUUCUUGCAGAUUCACGGUCGGAUUUACGUUGUUCCAAGACCUCUCCGGUUUUGUGCAUCAACAUUUGGCGCCGUAUGUGGGAAACGAUACGAAACGUUGUGUCGGUUCUCUUUCAUUUUUUCACCUCCGCCGUGAAUCUGCAAAAUCACAAAAACCCAAGAAACCAGUCACAUCUCUCUCUACACAUUGUUCUCACUCACUUUCUUCUUCAACACCUUUGUCUCCUCCUCAUUACCUCAAUCCAGCAUCUGGGUUCUGUUGUCUUUUCGUUUUCCUCACCUGAGUUUACUUCCAUUUCAUCGUAUAUGCGAUCCAAGUUUGAAGAUUUCAGAGAGCUGAGCUCAAAAUUUGCAGAGAGACGAAUGAUCUGUUUCUCGAGCUCAAAAUUCCAGAUGUUAGUACCAUCUUCCUCCAAGCAUCGAGAUGUGAAACGUGGAGGAGGAGCCAUUCGCUUCAAGCAAUCUUCUGGACCCAACAACGACAUCAAGCUCUUCCCUUGCUUGGAUUGUGGUGGGGACUUUGUGCUCUCUAGAAAAUCAACGAAGAAAGAGAGGCUCAGAAAAUUAAGUGCUCUUGGUACUGCAAAAACGACGAGCUUUUGAGACUGCGAAAUAGGUUGCAACGUGUCUAACAGACGCUGCCGUCAACCACCAGCCAUGAAGGUGCGCUCAUGAGUUCUGUAAGACAGUUUAGCGCCGUUGGAUGCGUCGACUUCUUCCACGAAUUCCGGUCUGACGGAAUCAUGGGUGUCUGAUCUCGUGGUCGCCCUUCAGGCCGCCAAGCGCGUGAACCAGGACAAACCUUCCCCAUUGCUGUUUGUUGCUUAUUCCUCUCGAAAACCCACUAUCUCUACUCAUUACCACAUUUCUCUCUCUCUCUAGCCAUUCCUUUUAACCAGACAUUCACAUUCUCCCGAAAUCAGUUCACCAGAAACAAACGGAAAAUCAAAUCGAACCAAACAAACAGAAAUUUCGUUAACCCAUCUCUCAAAAUCCCCAAAAUACCCAAAUCCAACGUCAAGUUCCAACCUUUUUGUCCCCUCAUUUCUCGAAUAUAUUUGAAAUCCGAUGGCCGAAACCGUGUUCUCGAAGCUCUCCGACGACGUCGUUCUGAAUAUCCUCUUCAAGCUCGAGGAGGACCCGCGGGACUGGGCUUGGCUCGCUUGCUCCUGCACCAAGUUCUCUUCCAUGAUCCGCAACGUUUGCUGGAAGAUCAAGUGCUACAAGGUCAUCCCCUCUAUCGUCUCCGAUCUCCUUACCGGCUCCACCGAGCCUGCCGGCGGCUAGGCCGCCCUUCAUAAGCUCGUUGUUUCCUGCCCUGGCCUCCUCCACUCUGGUGUCCUCUUCGAGAACUCCGACUUUGGGCUCGAGCGCGAACUCGGUCCUGACGAGAAUUACCAGAGAUUGGACUCAAAUCCGGUCGGCGCAUCUCCAUCGGCGAAUCCUCCAACCGAGGCUUUCUCGAGCCAAAUUGACGCGAAUCAGGAGAUGGGUUCAUUUGGAAAUGAUUGUUCUUGGUCUCUAUUCGAUAAUCUUUAUUUUGAUAGUCUAUAACGAUUCUAAAGUCCAUCAAGAGCAAGAUAAUCCCCAAUUAUAAUCAGCAGCGGCGGAGGAGGAUCAAGUCACCGUGGAGAAUAGCGCCGUUCGAGUGGGCCGUGGAGAAAGCCCAGAUUUGAGACACUGCCGGCCAGGAAAGCCAUGAGAGAAUGGUAACUUUUUAGUUAGCUGAGCUGAAUCUUACUGGUGGACGGUAUGGACGGUAUGUAUGUUUGCUGUAAAGCAGGCAUGCAAAUCUGCAAAUGAGCAUGCUCUGAAAAAUGAACCCAUUAUUCUUGAAAUGGACAUUUACAGGUGCCAUGGUCACUUUAUGUUUGAUCACACAUGAUGAGAUUUCUGGCAUAAGGCAGCCACCCACGUUUUCAUACAUGCAAGUGGAGAAACAAAAGCAAAAGCAGAAAGCAAAAGUAUAAAAAAUAAAAAUAAAAAAUAAAAAAAAUAAAAAAAAAGGAAAAUAUGUCAGGAGAUGGAGAAAAGCUGAGGAGGAAGUGGAAAACAUAGCACACCCAUACCCAUUGUCAUUGAUGAAUAUUUUAUUAAGUUGUCUUCUGCAAACUAAAGCAAUUAUUGUAUAGUUAUACUGAUGUGUAAAAAAGGCAGUAUGCCAAAAAAAAAAAAAACGGCAAGCCCAACAUAAUGGGCUGGAAUGUUAUGUGGAGGGCGAAGGCCCAUAUGCCUAAAAGAGCCAGGCCCUAUGGCUUCAAACUCCAACCUCCAUCCCUCCACUUAAAGUUCACCCUCUAUUAUCACCAACCAGGUGAUCAAAAGUACGUCCAGUACUCCAAAAUUAUUCGGUAGUCUGCCGUUAUUAUCACCAACCAGGUGAUCAAAAGUACGUCUAGUACUCUAAAAUUUUCGGCAGCUUGCCGCUAUUAUCACCAACCAGGUAAUCAAAAGUACGUCCAGUACUCCAAAAUUAUUCAGCAGCCUGCAGCUAUUAUCAUCAACUAGGUGAUCAAAAGUACAUCCAGUACUCCAAAAAAUCAUACAUGAGCAUCACUCAUGUCAAUCAUACAUAAACAUUCAUGAGCAUCCCUCUUCACAACAUUCAUGAGCAUCACUCAUGUCAACAUCCAUGAGCAUCACUCAUGUCAUUCAACAUAAACAUUCAUGAGCAUCACUCAUGUCAAUCAGCUUCGCUUUAUUUACAGAGCUCUAGCUUUGAAAGCUUCAUUUACAGAGUUCUAGCUUCGAAAGCUUUAUUUAUAGAGCUCUAGCUUCGAAAGCUUUCUUUACAGAGCUCUAGCUUCAAAAGCUUCAUUUACAAAAGCUCCAGCUUCGAAAGCUUCAUUUACAAAGCUCCGACUUCAAAGCUUCAGUGCAUGGUAUACAAAGACCACAUCCGAACAACCGCCACUUCGGCCCAUACAUGGAUUGAAUUUGAAGUCUACAGCCAACAGACUCUAUUGACUGAAGACUUGGGGGACUACACUAUGUACCAUAUAUUGGGCUUCUACAACUGGGCCUCAUGAAAAAUACUUGGGGAACUUGGCCCAUUAUUUAUGUACUGAGGAGCGAACCCUUAUUCUAUAAAAGGGACUCCCUCACUUUCAUUAGAGAGCACCCAUUAUUCAUGUAUUGAGAAGCGAACCCUUAUUUUAUAAAAGGGACUCCCUCACCUUCAUUAGAGAGAGACUUAGCUCAUCACUUAUGUAUUGAGGAGCGAGCCCUUAUUCUAUAAAAGGGACUCCCUCACCAUCAUUAGAGAGCAUCGCCGUCAACUGAGCAACCGCCUCGUCGCGAGAAUCACUCCUAACCCAUCACUUAUGUAUUGAGGAGCAAGCCCUUAUUCUAUAAAAGGGACUCCAUCACCAUCAUUAGAGAGCAUCGCCGUCAACUGAGCAACCGCCUCGCCGCGAGCAUCACUCCUAACCCAUCACUUAUGUAUCAGCAUCAUUAGAGAGCAUCACCGCCAGCUGAGUAACCUCUUCGCUACGAGCAUCACUCCUAACCCAUCACUUAUGUAUUGAGGAGCGAGCCCUUAUUCUAUAAAAUGGACUCUCUCACCAUCAUUAGAAAGCAUCACCGCAAGCUGAGCAAGCCCCUCGCCGCGAACAUCACUCCUAACCCAUCACUUAUGUAUUGAGGAGCGAGCCCUUAUUCUAUAAAAGGGAAUUCCUCACCUUCAACGCCACAAGCUGAGCCAACCAAGGCAACAUAAGCCACAAGUCGAGCAGCCUCAUAACAUGUGCUACUUCUAGUUGAGCAUCAUUUCACAUUGAGCACCGCCUCAUAUCGAGUAUCAAUUCUAGAAGACAUCUAGUUACUUCGGCCCACACAUAAACUGAAUUUCAAGUCUCCAGCCAAAACACUCUCUUGACUGAAGACUUGGGGGACUACUGUUUGUACCAUAUUUGGGGCUUCCGUAUUUAGACCUCGUAUAAAUACUCGGGGGACUCAAAUGUAAUUAUGUAAUAAAUGAAGGGGCAAAUAUAUAAUAAGUGAGAAGCCCUUAUUCUAUAAAAUGACUCCUCACUCUCCUUAUUGAAAGAGGUCAAGAUUCAGUCCAUGGGAAGAGAGAAAAUAGGCUAGAAAGCACACUGCCUCUAGCCUUCUUGUAUAUUCACCAUUCAAAGUGAAACAAUAUCAACAUCAGUGUGGACGUAGCCCAAACAUUGGGGUGAACCACGAUACAUCUUGUGUUCUUUACUUUCUUGCAGAUUCACGGUCGGAUUUACGUUGUUUCAAGACCCCUCCGGUUUUGUGCAUCAACACCAUGAAUGUUGAGAUGGAAGAUUUGGAAAAGAAUUCCACUUGGGAUUUGGUUCGGUUGCCAAACAGAAAGAAAGCUGUUGGAUGUAGAUGAGUGUUCACUAUUAAGCAUAAAGCAGAUGGUUCUAUUAACCAACAUAAAGCCAGAUUAAUUGCUGGGGUUAUACUAAAACCUAUGGUGUGGACUAUUUAGAGACUUUUGCCCAUGUUACCAAACUCAACAAUGUGUGUGUUCUUCUAUCUUUAAUAACAAAUCAAGAUUGGCCCCUACUGCAGUUUGAUGUUAAGAAUGUUUUUCUUCAUGAUGAUCUUAAAGAGGAAGUUUAUAUGGAUCUCCCACCUGGUAUUGGCAUAUCUCCUGAAAAAGGUGUUGUGUGCAUAUUGCAAAAGACUUUGUAUGGUUUGAAACAAUCUCCUAGAGCUUGGUUUGGGGGGUUUACAAGUUCAAUGAAGAAGUUUGGGUAUUUUCAAAGUCAUUCGUACCAUACUUUGUUUCUAAAGCGACAAAAUGGUAAGCUAACUGCAUUGAUUAUUUAUGUUGAUGACAUGAUAGUGACUGGUGAUGAUCAGGAGAAGGUACAACACCUUCAAAAGUACCUAGCUACUGAAUUUGAGAUGAAAGAAUUGGGUGAAUUGAAGUAUUUUCUUGGAAUCGAGGUUGAACGAUCCAAGCAUAGUGUUUUUCUGUCUCAACGGAAGUAUGUUCUUGAUUAAUUAGCUUAAAUAGGUGAUUUAGAUUGCAAACUUGUUGAUACUUCGAUCGAGCAGAAUCAUCGUCUGGCCUUAUUUCUGGAUCAAGUUCCUACUCAUAAUAAACAGUAUCAGAUGCUUGUAGAAAGAUUAAUUUAUUUGUCUCACACUCGCCCUAACAUUGCUUAUGAAGAUAGUGUGGUAAGUCAGUUUAUGCACCCACCUAGUGAAGCUCAUAUGGAUGCAGUAAUCCAUAUUUUGAGGUACUUGAAGAUGGCUUCUAGUAAAGGCUUGGUUUUUUACAAGAAUAGUCAUUUGAAUGUAUAAGGGUAUACGGAUGCAGAUGGGGCAAGUUCUAUCACUGACCAGCGAUCUACAUCUGGAUAUUUUACUUUUGUGGGUGGUAAUGUAGGUACUUGGAGAAACAAGAAACAAUAAACAAAACGUUGUGGCUAGGUCAAGUGCUGAAGCUAAGUUUCGUGGUAUGUCUGAUGGUGUAUGUGAGUUGUUGUGGUUGAAAAAAUUGUUGAGAGAUCUUGGAUUUAAACCCAAGGGUGCUAUGAAACUCCAUUGUGAUAACAAGGCUGCUAUUGAGAUUGCUCAUAAUCUAGUGCAACAUGAUCGAACAAAACAUGUGGAGAUUGAUCGACAUUUCAUCAAGGAAAAAUUGGAUGUUGGAAUUAUUACUUUUCCGUUUGUGGGAUCUCAAGUUCAACUUGCUGAUGUGCUUACUAAGGUUAUGUCUAAUAGUGUGUCUUCCAACUCGCUUGACAAGUUGGGCAUGUGUGACAUCUUUGCUCUAACUUGAGGGGGAGUGUUGCGAGUUAUAUAUUUAUGUAUUAGUUAAAAUGUAAAUAGUAGUUUGUUGUCUCACAUUGACGAAGUGUAUAUGUAAUAUCAAUUAUAACUCCUAUAUAUACUCAACUUUGAAGAUUAAUGAAUAUACAAGAAAUUCUCCAAUAUUGUCAUAUAUAUUUUUGAUAUUUUACCAUUUUUAAUUCAACUGUCUCAUGAUUCUCACCCCAUACCAACCAAGUAAUUUAAAACCCUAGUUCCACCAAUUUAAAUGGGCACACAUUAUUUUCCUCUCUGUACUUAGAUUUUUUAAUAAUUUUUUUUUUAAAAUUACAAAAAUAAUUAAAAUAAUUUGUCAAUGCAAAUCAUUAUUGGAAACUAGAGCAUGAAUGAAAUGGACUGCCUGGAGAGAGUGAGAGGGAUGUGUUCAAACGGUUUAUAGCAGCAGCUUUUAGCUUUAUAUCAAGGGAAUUUUAACGAAAAGCAUCCGGUACUGUUCACUUUAACGAAAAACCAUAUUUUUAUACUAAAAAGUCGAUCAUAGUACUAUUCACUUUACCCUUUAUUUUGUCCUUAUCAUUAGAGCAAGUCCACCGGGAAGAAGAGAGCCCGGCACUUAGCCAAAAAACAAGGCUGGCACUCAGCCAAUCCUCUCCACCCCGUGCUUGCCUGGCACCCAGCCCAAGCUGGUCUCCAGACCAGCUCAAAAUUGACAGAGCAAUGGACUGGCCCGUAUGACGCCAACAUGACAUCAGUCACCAUUUUUUUUCCUUCAUUUUUUCCGCGCCAGGUCAGGUCAAGGGGGAAUACCUGACUGUAUUUCUUCUCCACCAAAUGACUCCCCAUGGGGGGAAGACGACUCCAACCCCAUCGUCGUCGACGGCAAGUUCUGCAGAGCUGGCACCAAGAUUGAAUCUUUUGGUUUUGCAGGAGUUGGGUUUGAGCUUGUUGAUGAUAGCAGAUGAGGAGGGGAAGAGUUAGAAGAUGGGAGGGAAGUGCAGGGGUGUGCAGCGGUGAAGUUGAGAAAUGAUGUGCAGGAGUGCAAGUGUGCAACAGUGAAGUUGAGAAAUUGAGAAAGGAAGUGCAGGUUAUGAAAUUGAAAACAUUUUAAUUUUUUUUAUUUCUACAAAGUCAGAAAUUAAAUAUAAAUUAUUAAAAAAAUUAUUAUUUUAUAAUAAAUAAUAAUAAUAUUUUAAUAAAAUGGACUAGGCAAUUUUUUGUUAGGGAUGGAGAUGCUUUGGUCUAUUACUGUUCACUGGGGUCUAUUACUGUUCACUUGAGUGGAUAAAUACGCUGGGUGCUGGCACAAAGUCCUUAGGGGUGGACUUGCUCUUAAAAUUCAAAGUUUUCAAUCCAUUUUCAUUAGUUUUCCUUAUUUUGUUAAUAAGUUAAUGACAAUAAUAAAUUAAUAUAUAAUAAUUCUAAUAAUUAUGCUUAUUUUAUGGUUUGGGAAACAAUUGAACAUAGGGGAAGUAGCCCAUUAGUGAUGAUUAUGUUAACAGAUAAAAUUGUUUUAAGGUUUAAGCUUUAAUCCACAGAUUAAGAUUGAGAUUACUGUGUACAGUAAGGAAAGUGGUUUCCACUGAGCAGCAAAAGACAAUGGCUGCAUGAGAUCUGGGAAUGGUGCUUUGUGGGCUGGUCAAACUGCCACUGCAUGGGAGCAGACAGAUGUUCAAACUUUUUCCAUAAAGAAUCUCCCAGAACUCGUCUUCCAUCGACACUGAAGAGUGAAGACGCUCGCACCAUUUCAAAGGCAAACGACAAGCUUAAGACACAAAAUCCAUACUUUCACACGCUAAUCAAGGUGACAUGUUCCUCGAUAGUUGAUUCUCUCUCUCUCUCUCGAGUCUCACCCUCCAUAUUUAUAAAAAGAGUAAAUUGUAGUUAUAGUCAUUUAACUUUAAUUCAAUUGAAUAAAUGAUCCUUCAACUAAAAAUCUAUUACCAUUAGUCCCUCAAUUCAUCAAAACGUGCAGCUAUGGUCCCCCAACUAAAAAUUUAUUACCAUUGAUCCCUCAACUUUAAUUCAACUGGAGAAAUGCUUUCUUAACUUCAACCCAACUGUAGCAAUGGUCAUUUCAACAUAACUCGUUUUGACAAAUUUUUUAAUGUAGUUGACGAAAAUGACCAUAAUUACACACUUUGAUGAGUUGAGAGACCCUAAUUGUAUAAAUGGUCAUUCCAACAUAACUUAUUUUGACAAAAUUUUGAUGAAAUUGAUGAAAAAGACUAUAGCUACACAUUUUGAUAAGUUGAGGGGCCAAUAAUAAUGGAUUUUUAGUUGAGGGACUAUUGCUUCAAUUUGUUUAAAGUUGAGGGACCAUUGCUAUAAUUUACUCUUAUCAUAAACUAUACAUUCCACGCUAGUGAGAAAUCUUUUAGUAUGACAACAACACUUCACAUAGCAUAAUCUCAAGUAUUAUAUCUGUAAAUUGUGAGAAUGUAAAGAAAUAUUUUAGACAAUUUUUAAAGGAGAUGUAAAAAAUAGCACGUAAAUAUACAACAGUAAUAAUUAAAGUACUAUUUAUUCUAACUGAGAUGUCAAAGCUGACAUGAAAAAGAAGGCUAAGUUGAUAUGGACAAAGAAUUUGAAGCUACCUUCAAAUAUGAUUUUUGCUAUUUCCAAAGACAUUUCACUUGUCUUACCUUAAAUGUUAGCAUAUUUAAGUUUUAUUUUAUUAUUUUUAAACCAACAACAACCCAACUUUUAUUAUUUUUGUUUGAAAAAACAUAAAUGAAACAAUAAAUUUUGACAUAUCGGGUGGAAGUAAAAUCUUGAUAAUAUGUCAAAUUGUCAAAUUAUCCAUCAAAUUAAAAUUUGAUGUUUUGAAUUUGACGUCUCAUUUGGAGAUACUCUUAUAUUGGAAAACUGAGAAAUUCUAUCACGAAUUAUAAGAAGAGGGGGUUAUUUCCUCUAUAGCCAAUUAAUUGUACAGUAAAUUUUAACUUUUAUAGUAUCAGAGUCGGUUAACUCACGUAUGAAGUCUAGUGGUCUCACUUGCUUCAUGUCAACUAAUAUAUGGUAUUAAUGUGAAGAAAUGUAUUAAACCCUGUAAAGAGUUUAUAAUGAAUUGAGCCACUUCUCUUAUUGUCAAUUUGUCUCAUGAUGAGAGAUUAACAUACUUUAUAGAUAAUAUAAGUGAUACAUCACAAACGUAAUAUAUAUUAUUAAUAAAUAAAUUCACGGGUUAUUAAAACAUUUAUAUAUGAACUAAUAACAAUAUGUGGUAGUGGCACUAUGUAACAAUCACACUAGGAAAACUUCUUCACAUUGAUCACUUUUAUAAAUACGUUGUUUAAUUCUUAAACACUUGAACAGCUGGACUUCCACAGGUGCUGGCUGCUAUUUUCUUCCACCCCAUGUUACUUCCAAGUCCGAUAAACUAAAAAUAAAAAAAUAAAAAUAAAAAUAGCUCAGAAAUAGUUAAGUUUUUGUUAAGUAUGAUGGGAUCAGAAUAAAACAAAGAAAGUGAAAAAGAAAAGUAAUUUUGGUUAAACUAGCGACAUGCUUUACGCUUAAUCCAAACUUUUCAAGUUUUCUAAUUUGAUGAUCAUGUUGUUCUUUCAGUGCUAGAAUCUAGGUUUGACCCAACCGGUACUAUAAUACCGCAUGCACCUGUUAUACUUUUUGCAGCCCAAUUAUCUUCUCUUGUGAUGAUCACUCUCUCUUAACUGUCUCCACCAAAUCCAAAUCUUACUUUAAUUGUUAGUAGAUUAAUGAUUAAAUAGCUACAUCUACCAAUAUGAUGGUCUUUUAAUGAUAAUGCUAAUUAAGGUCAUUCAUUUUGUUCAUCAAAUUAUUUGUCAGUAUACAUUAUCACUUAUUAGAAUUGGUGAGAUUUUAAUAUGUCUUACCAUUUGACGGAAGUUUUACUCUAGAUCAUUAUCGAGCUCCUAGAAUUAUCGAAUUCACUAUUCAGUAUUUGAAACUACAAUACAAAAACAAAGUUGUUAUUAGCACUUCAAAUCCUACACCUCUCUAUUUUUAUAUUAGAGUGCUACUUACGAAUUACGAUUCUAAAAUCAAUUGGACGAUAAAUUGAUAAUAAACAACUAUUAGCUUCAAUUGAUGGGGUUGUGUCCGAUCAUUAAUUUUUCAAGUGACUAAAUAUGUUUGAUAAAGUUCUCAAUGGGAAAAUUCAAUCUUGUUUUCAUUUUUUUAGUAGUUUGUGUGCUAAUUUUAGGCAUUAUUGUGCAACAUAUGUGCUGGUCAAAUUUUGUUCUCCUUAGCUAAGACAUGAGCAAUGGCGUAGCCAUGUUAAGGGUUACCCUGGGCUAUAAACCAAGUAGCUUUCCAUAAAAAAUUAAAAUUUUACAUAUAAUUUUUAUUGAUUUUUGAAUAUAGCACAUCAUAUAUUUAGUCACUAAUCCUAAUUUUCUUGGUUUAACUAUAUAAAAUUAUAUAAUACAGUUUACAAAUCAUCUCUUUUUGUUUCGUCAUUUUUCUAAUCACUUCUUGUACAUGUACACGUUUGGAUUUGUUUGAAUUUUAACACGUAUUUGUUUAAUAACGAAAAUUCUUGACUCACAUUGUGAAAAUUUUCUUAAGCUAGACGAUACUGUGAAAAAUACAAUAUCAAGAUUUGAAUGUUUAAGUUAGCCCACUCAGUGAAAAUUUCCUAGCUCCGCUAUUGGACAUGAGUUGGCCAAUAUCAAUCGUUUUCCAUUUUAAACUAUAUGACUCUCUAAGAUUAAUGAAUCAUCUUUCUUAUUUAAUUAAUUAAUGAGAUCAUGGAGAACAAAUAUGAAAUAGAAAGCUUGGGAAACAAGGCAAGUAAACGGAAGAAUCCGGAUACAUAGAGAAUAUGACCGACUUUUACAUGACCGCUUUGAAAAGUAAUAAAGAAAAUCUGAGAAAAAAAGUACUAAUACAAAAAGAUAAAGGCCAAAAAAGAAAUUGAAAAAGUGGAAAAGCAAAUAAGAUGGUAUAAUUUGUAGCAAACUUAGGCAUUACUCUUUUCUGUAUAAUUGGAGUAACACAUUCACACUAUCCCUUCAUCCUCAAGAUUAUAACUUAGUACUAAGAUAUCCACAGAUGACAUGACACACCACCUUGGAUUCCACUCACGGAUUCAGCACCAAUCUAUAACAUAACAUGCACAUUUGUUGCUCAUACUCAUUGCCUUUCAUUUUACCAAAUAGUAAGCUAUGAAAAUCAAUUACAUAUCUAGAGUAAACUCGACAAUGGUUCAAUUUCGUAAGAUAUUAUUGUAUUUAGUUUCAAUUUCGUAAGAUAUUAUUGCGUUUAGUCCAUUUUGUUGAGUUAGGUAUGUUUAUUAAUUAUUCACAUUAGCUUAUUUUUAUCAUAUUUUCUCCUGCUUCCAAUACGUAUCUCAAUAUUUUCUUUUACCUCCAGCACAGAUUAAUUGUACAAGCUAAUCAAUGUUGUAAGUACUAUAUAUAUGUAUACAUCAUCACAUAUACUAGUAUGGAUUAUAUAUGUAUACAUCAUCACAUAUACUAGUACGAAUUUAUAAACGUAGGAAGGUUAAAUUUCUUUGAACUAUUUUCAUGGAUGAUAGGUAAAUUAAGUUUUGUUUAUUUCCAUAUAUUAUGUCUCCAUCACAGGUUGAAUGUAUUUAAUUAACCUAUAGUGUAGGUAUCAUAUAUGAUGUGAUAUAAUAUUAAAAAUUUUAACUAUUUUUCAGGAAAGUGGUCAGAUCUUCAUUUUUAAAUAUUCAAAUUAAAAUGUAAUAAAGAUGCAUAUAUAACACAAUAUGUUCCCUAUAAUUAUUCCGAUUUUCACUUUCGUUUACGUAAUUUUUAACUUUCUUUUCAAUCUUCAUCCUUGUAGUUUCACUAAUUCCAUUAGGAUAUGAUCCACCAAUAAGGCCAUUCCAACUUGGGUUUUUUCAUAUGAGACGAUGUGCAAAAAUAUGGAUGUAAAAAACAAGUUAAGAGUCGAGGAAUCGGACUAAAGUGAAAACAAAACAAUAUUACAAGGAUGAGAAUGCAACAAAUAACUACAUGGAUUAAAGUGAAAGUUCAAGGGAAUUAUAGGAACUACUAGUACAAUUCGUGAGUAUUAAGCAUAUAGAUGCGAAAAUUUUCUAGUGCAAAUAUCAUAUUAUCAACAACGUGUUCCAAUUAACGAUAAUAAUUGUUCAUGAUCGAUUUACGUUUCUCUACAAAGAUAAUUCCGCGAAAGAUAAAUAAAAAUUUGAUCCUUGAUGAACAACCAAAAGAAUAGAAGAUUUUGAUCAUUGAGUUACAUAAUAGGAUCCCAAUGAAGAUCAAUCUCUAUAUGCAAAAAUCUCACUAGAAGCUGCCCUAUUAAGCUCACACAUAUCUAACACAUACAAAACUAGACAACAACAGAAGCAAGAGAAUAUGUUGGGUAAGGGACUAUAGAUUCUUGGCACUGGAAGAUAUGAUUAUUUUAUGUACAUUACAAAAUGUGGGUCAACAUAGAGACAUGUUUGCUUGCUUGCAAUGGAACACCGAUUGACCAUAUCGGCUGAUGGACGCAUCUAAGUGCGCAUCACCGGCCACAUGAGUACCAAACAUUGGCUAAUAAUUUUUUGUUUGUGUAUUCAUUUGUACUAGAAAGCAUCUUCACUAGGUAACAGCUAAACUAACCGAAAGUAAGGGGGGAUUUUGGCCUCUUUCAUAUAUAUAUACACACAUGUCCUUCACCAAGUAAUGCUUAUUAUACAGAGCCGGCCUUGAGGGUGUGCAAGUGGUGCCACCGCACAAGGCCCCCGAUUACGAUUUUAUUUUACCUGUAGAUAUAGUAUAAGUUUUUAAAUUUGCAAUGAUAUACCAAAGUCAUCUCAUAGCCCAAUUGUCUUCCGCUUCUUAUCCAUAAUCCAUGUCUAUGAAAUUGGGUUUGACUUUACCCGGUGCUUUUUUUUGUGUUUUAUUUUUUUGGGUAUUUAAAAGCAUGGUGUUUAUUUAAUGUUUUAUUUUAAUUUCUUUCGUGUUUUAUUUUAAUUGUUUUGGUAUUUAAAAGAAUGAGUUCUGUUUUAAUUUUGUUUAAUUUAAAGCAUGGUGUUUCAAACCCAAAAACAUAGGGGAUGUAAAUAGGUGCCUAACCGCCACACUAAGAUUUUUUUUUCCUUACAUCAUCUCAAUUAUAUGUGAUCAUAAUUAAAUGUAAAAGAAAACAUAGCAACAAAAUGUUAGACCCUCUAAGGGCUUUUUAUUGGGUAUGUUAAAAUAAAGAGUUUCAAAUCCAAAAAUACACCACCGAAUUUUUUUUUUUACACAGCAAAUAGAUAUCUAACCACAGCACGAAAAUUUUUCUUUAACUCAAUCUAUAAAUAAUCAUAAAAAUUAAAAUGUAAAAGAAAACAUAUCAACCAAAAUUCUAUACUUAUUAAGGGCCUCCCUUGGAGUCUCGCACAAGGCCCCCAAAAUCUCAGAGCCGACUCUGUUAUUAUAGAUAUGGUCAGGAUCAAGACACACGUUUUUUACGUAUAUUCUUAAAACAUACAUUGUAAUGUUUUAGUUAUUUAGCCGUCUAAUAUUUAGGUCUUCAUUCAAAAAUCAUUUCUACCGACAUUAGAUAAGCAACUUUUAGUCUCUUUUGAGGUUUCGGUUGAGUUAUGUAAUGCUCUUUCUAUUGUCCCUAUUUUUUAGCAUCCUCCUCCAUAUAAUUGGGUGAAAGCAACUUGUUGUGGGGUCAAUGGAGAUUCUAUGGGUUUUUUUUUUUUUGUGGGUUUUCUCAGAGUUUUGAGCAUCAUGCUGUCAUCCUCGCAGUGGAGUUGGUUCAUGGGCAAGGCUGUCAAAAUUUGUGGCUAGAAAGUAACUAUUCCAACAUGAUCUUCUUUUCUUUUGACUAUUUUUCUCCUCCUUGACAGCUCUUAACUCGUUGGAAAAAUCGUCUUCUCGUUUUGCAACACAUGGUUUUCCGUUGCUUUCAUAUUUUUCGAGAUAAGAAAGCGGUCACGAAUAAAUUAGGAAAUUAAGGGUUGCUCUUGUCUUUCCUUGUGUGUCAUCCGGUUCUACCCUUGGAGACUCUCCCUUUACUGCACACAAAUUUUUUGGGCAUCCCGACCUAUAAGUUUGUCUCCCCUUCUUAAUGAAUUUAUUUUUGCCUGAACUUCUUGUUAAUUUGCUUUGCAACUUGUUUUGCGGGUUAUUAUCUUUUACAUUUUGUUUUAGAAGGGUUAGGUCUCAUGUCCCUCUUCUUUUUCUUGUAUCUUUUUUGUUUAUGUUUUUAAAAGAGUAAGAUUUAUAUCCCUGACUAGGUGUAUUUUUUUUUUCCUUCAACAAUUAAGUUAGUAAUUUCAUAAUAUUACCUGUACACCCUAGCUUGACAAUAUUUAUCAACGCACGGGCAUGCCUUGUAGAUAAAAGGCAGGCUUGAUUUAGUCAUGGAAAUUGGCAAGGGUAUUAGGUUUAAGCUAGGGUUACAUCAGCCAUGCAUGCGCCGACCAAUUGCAUUUACAUAUAAUACAGUUGAAGCACAUGCCUUACAACUUAAGCUUUGGACUUGAUUGGACUUGAGGCGCAGUAGUCAAAUUGUACAACGUGGAUGCAUGUACCAGGUAGUAUAAGAUUAGAUAAGCCAACUGGGGUAAUUAGGUUAAUUUUUUGUCUAAUUUAAUCACUUUGUGAGGCUUAACGGAAGCAAAUGUACUAUAUGUGUAUUACUUUUUCUAUAAGAUCAUCCUCGAAUAACCUUGAAGUUGAGAUUGUUAAAUGCAAGUUAACAUAAAAAAUAUUUGAGAGAAAAAUAUUUUACAAUUUAUAUUGAAUAAUCUGACUUUUAAUUGUAUCAAAACCUUUUUGUGAUACAACCCAACAAUUUGAAAAUGAUGGAGAUUUUGCAUAACUUCCAAGUUGCCAAACCAAACCAAGCCCCUUACUAACUGGUUUGGUAGGAUUGAUGAGAUUGAGCCUUAAAAUAUGAUUAGAUUGAGAUUUGUAAGACAUGAUUUAUAAUCAUGUAGAAUAAUAUGUUAGAUAACUCAUUUUAUUGUAGAUUAACAACUCAUUAUGUCUAAUCUUGUAUAUCUCACAUGUAGACAUAAUAAACAACAGACUGAGCUCAAAUCUAUUCUAAAGAUGUGAUAGGACAUUAUAUCUCUUUCGGCGGGAAAGUUCAAAACGGUGGCACUAAUUAGAAGCAAUUUUAUGCUUUUACACGAGUAUGCAUUGCAUGUGUGACUCAGAAACAGAAAGACGUGGCAAGCAUGCGCUUCAUAUAUACCAUCCUCUGGAUCUGAAAACCUUUGAAUGAUCAACGGUGGAAAAGUGGCUUCAUAAAAUAACAUAAAGUUUGUUUAUUUACAAAAUAAAAAAUAUUUAAAAAGCUAUGAACGUCUUUAUCCAGUAUUCCUUGCAGUAAACAAGUAAGCAUGUCCCUUAAUUAUUUUUAAUUCUUUAAUUCAGUUUGUUUAAUUUUUCUAUCCAACCAAAGAAUAUGCUUAAUUAACUAUGUUUACUAUAUUUAAUCGGGCUUAACUAUUAAGUGGAGUUUUGAUGCUUUUGCUGAUGAGUUUCAUCAUGUGCAAUUGUGCAUACAUUUUGUGACGAGAGUGGGACAGGAGAGAGAGCGUCGGCCAACGCCGGCAGCUGUUUGCCAAGUGGAGAAGCAAAGCGACGCGCCGGAAUAAUCUUCCCGGAAAACGACGACGGUUGAAACAAGCAGAAGGGUUAAAGCGGCUUGGGUUUGACUAGGAUAAAAUAAUAGACGGUUUGAAGGUGCCAAAUCAUUGCAAAAUACAGAUUCUUUUAUUUGCCUUCUUCAUUAGAACAAAAUAUUUUUUUAUUGAAUUUUUGUUCAACAAAAUUAAUUAUUUUUCUACGCUGAUUUUCAAAAAAGAAAAACUCUGGCAAUUAGGUUGUAAGAAUAUCUAAACACUAUAUAUGUUUAUUUUGUCAAUUUUGAGUUUUAUUUUAGACUGUUUCGAUGACAAUUAAGAUCGUUGAAAUGAAUUGUUUAUGUAUUUGAUACGUAUGGUGAUUAAGAAAUAGCCAAUUUUAAUAUAACAUGUUUAUCGUAAAAAUUUGUUAAUCACAUUGGUUAAACAAGAGGCAUGCUAGGAUCCACACCAAUAUCGUACGAUAAAUAAUUAUAAUUCAAUUUAAAAUGUUCAUUACAAAUGGAUAUUACUACUUAAAGCAAUAUAAAGGAGGAUGAAAGUGUGUACUCAAAACACGAUGAGUUAAACAAAAAAAUCAUACUCACCAGAACAAUUUACCGCUUCAAUACUUCGAUUGGGUUUUAUGACGACUUAAAACUUUGUUUAGCACAUGUGGUUUGAGGGAUAUAUGGCCCCAUGCAUGUUAAUUUGUUAUUAUGUUGACUCCAAAAUCCAAAUAUUUGUUACUUGUGCUCUUCGCUUCCUGUCGUCAAUCUUGGAUAUUCUUGUCUGUUUUUAUUCAUUUUGUUUUCUAAGUUCAAGUUGUCUCACUUGCGAUACGAUUCGUCUUAUAUAUGGCCUGACAUAAAUACUACGAAAUAAUAAGCAAUAUUCAGAAAAGAAAAAAAUUAAAAAAAUACAAUUUAAAGGAUAAGCGUUGGAGGUGGAAAGGUAUGUUUCCUGCAAAUGAGGAGAGAUUUUUCAGUGUGAUCGGCAUACGAGGUGGUACACCACAUGUCACUAUACAAAUAGUGGGAUAUGUGUAUUAAAAAGUUAAGGAUUAAUCUCAAUUUACUACCUGAAGUUUCUUAGUUAUCAACAUUUAAUACAUGAAUUUUUUUUCAUCCCAAAGUGGUAUAUAAAGUCAUAAUUUUUGGACAGUUUCAUAUAUCCGUUAAGUUUGAUGUUAAAUCGGCGUGGGAUAACAAUUGCAUCGAUGGAAAAGGACAACGAGAUCCUAUCAUCGUCGUCUGGAGGAAGCCAAUCUCUAGCGUCGCAGAGGCAGAACAGUUGGAUCAGACCGACUCCGACUCAGAACAAAACCCUAACCCUAGCUCUCUUGUCAUCGGAGAAGCAGCAAGGGCGGAGCAGCGGUGGAGGAAGGGAAGAUUGUUGGAGCGAAGGGGCGACAUCGGUGUUGAUCGAGGCGUGGGGGGAGAGGUACUUGGAGCUGAGCGAGGAGAGAAUUGAGGGAAGGGGUCAUUGGGUAAGUAGCAAGGGCGGAGCAGAGAGGGAAAACAGAAAAAAAAGAAAAAAAAAAGGGUUGAUUGCUGGAUUGGAUGGGAGAGAGAAAAGAAAAUUGGGAGCGGCGCCAGGGGAGGCGGAGGGGGAGAGGCAGAGGAAGAGGAAGGAUCGUGAUUUUCUGUGUUGGGUGGGGAAGAAGAAACAGAGAGAUGAACCCAUAUUGAUUUUUUAGGUUAAGGUUUGGUUUUUUAAUUUUAAAUUAUAAAUUGUUUUAAUUAUUAAUUAUUAAUUGUUUUAAUUUUUAUUUUUUUUUAAUUUUUUAAUAUUCACGUGGAUCCAUACUGGCACAUGGCACCUAGUCAUUGUCCAUCAGUUAACAAAGGUUCUGACGGAAAACUUAAUAGAUGUAUGAUACUGUUCCAAAAUUAUGAUUUUAGGUACCAUUCUGGGAUAAAAAAAACUUCAUGAACCAAAUGUUGAAAAUCAAGAAACUUUAAAAUAGUAAACUGAGAUUAAUCCAAAGUUAAUAACUUAAAAAAAAAAAUUCUCACCAUUUAUAUAAAAACACAUGGUGUACCACUCAUAUUUUAAUCAAAAUAAAAAAUUUCUCGCAAAUGAGAAUAGCAUUUGACAAAGGAGGGAGGAUAUGUCCGCCGUCCGCUCACUAAAAAUGUUUGCUUUCGGAUGGAACAUCUGUUUGAAUAUGUAGGGAUUUCCAGAGGGUGGUGAUUUGAUGCAAAGUGGGAGCAUUUGCAACAGAAAAAAUAAUGUUGAUAAUCUUUUAAAAUGUCUCGAUCUGUUAAAGAGCUCUAUACCGUCACCUGAUGUCUGUUAAACUAAGAAUUUUCAUUCAUCUAAGUGGAAAAACUAAAGAGUACAUAGCUUUGAAAUCAGAAUUGAACUUUAAAAGCGAAGAUUAGAAGAUUAUUUAAAGGAAGCAUUGUUGGAUUUCCGCUACUUUUAUACCUAUCAAUUUAUCGAAUUUUGAGCUGAAUGAUUUGGUUUCGAUGCAACUGAAGUGAUUAUUAUCAUAAUCCGUUCAUAAUCCAAAUUCAAUAGUUUUUUAGCUUAAGAAACCGAAUAUGAAUAUGAUGCUAUGAUGAUCCAUCCAACUUAGUACAUAUUAUCUGCCCAUAUAUCUUUUAUUAUUAUAUACAAAACAUAUGAAAGAGUAAUUUGAAUCUUCUAGGGAUAUGGAUUUGCUUAUCAAUUGAUCCCUUGAAUUUUCACAUCAAAUUUUGUUUUGAAUUGAAUCGAAUCUUGACUGGUGCAGUUCAUAUCCCAUCUGUUUACAGUUCUCCUUCCUUAUAACAUAUCCACCCUAAAUGCCUGUUUAGUGGGCUGAUUGAGAUAGGUUGUGACUCAUAAAAAUGAACUUGAAUUCAAUCAUUUAUUCGUUGUGUCAAAAUGUAAAAUGAACAUGCACGGAUAUAAUUGAUUAUGAAUCCACACUAAAAUUAGUUAUCAAAAUAUCUUUGUACUGAGUUACAACUCCUGUUUUACAUAUCCCAGUCAAUCAAAUCUCAUUCAAACUACUAAAUAGGUCUUAAAAUUCUAGGGAAUUGUUAUUAGCACUCAAAAAAUCUCAUUCUACACUUCAAACUUUCUAUAUUUGGCAAAAAAAAUACACUUGUUAGAAGUGCAGAAUGAGAUUUUUAAAAUACCAAUAACACUUCCCAAAAUUCUAAACAUAUUACAAAGAAAGUCUAUUGGGUGGUGUUGCCUAAAACAUGACAGGUUGGUGUGAAGUUAACUUGCCCUAAUCUCACUUUAACGGCAAAUGAUGGUAAAAGAAAAAUUCACAUAAGCCCAAAAAGAAAAAUUCGCAUAAGCCCAAAAACCUUGUCAAUUUCAUCAUCAUCACAGCAAUACACAGAAGGAAUUUAUUUCCAUUGGCUCAUGGCCUCUGCGCAGAGAUCGUGUUUCCGCUGGCUGCUGAUCUUCCCACAGGCUUUAGCUGCAAGCAACCAACUGGUAAUUUGGUACAUCAUGUUUUUGUUUUCCUGCUGAUUGAUGCCAACCAUUUCACCUCACACAGCAAAACAGGAAAAAGGAAAAGUACCAACAUUAUCGAAAAAAAAGAAUUUUUUUUUAACGAAACACUCUCGGUACUAUUUACUUUUAACGAAAAACCAUAUUUUACCUGUUUUUAGUACUAUUCAUUACACCUUUAUUUGUCAUUUUUCGUUAAAACUAAAGUUUUUUUUGAACUUUUCGUUAGUUUUCCUUAAAAAAAAAAAAAAGUUAAUUACAUUUCACAUGACCAGGUUGAGGUUGAUUUUUAAAAGGAUUAACUUGGUUACUUAAAAGAUGAGAAUAAGUUUAUCUUUGAAAUAUUCUGUGACCAUUUUUUAAAAUUUUGUGUUUAUAAUAAGAAACAUUAAUACUAUAUUUUACUAUGUAAAAAUUAACUUUGCAAAAAAUCAAUCCAAACUAAGAUUUUUGUUUUUGAACUGAGAGGAGAGUAGGAGAGAGAGAACGUGAGAGUUGGAAUGGGAAGAGAGAUUUUUGUUUUGUUUUUUUAUUUUUAAUAUUAAUAUAUGUUAAAAUCAUAUGUAGAUGAGGCUUCAAUAGAAAACAGCAAAAUUUAGUUUUGUAAAAUUACAUUAUUGCCUUUUUUUUUUUUUGAGAUAGAAGAUUAAAUUAUCUUUUCAUUUAUAAAAGAGAGUUAUAUUAAUAGAUAGUUUCGAUUUCUAACACAAAUGAAUUGCAUGAUAGUAUCCAAAGAAGAUUAAAAUACUUCAAUGAAUUUUCUUGAUCCCAAAAAAGUAGAGUGUCGUGCGAAACCAUCCGUUUUUCCUCCUAGAAAAAAGCAAAAAAUCAAGGGAAGAAAAGUAAGAGGGACAAAAGAGACAAAAGUAAAUUUCAGUGAGGCAGAGCAGAUUUGUUUACAUUGCAUGGAGGGGAAUGAGGUGGAGAAAUGCCAAGUGGAAGCAUGUAAAGGACAAAUGCCCUUCUUAUGCAAUUUCACAAUUCUUUGUUAGAAAGAAUUAAAUUAUUUUCUCUUUAUGAUUUUUAAUUCUUAUAAAAUUCUCAUAAUUAAGGCCUGGUUCCGGUGCAAUAAGAUCCUGCGCCUCAACCGCUAACGAACGAGGGGCGAGUGACUGGCCCACUUCCCUCCCUCACGUUUCGCGUCUCCACCACUUUCACACGGAGGGGUUUUCACAUCCCUCAUAACAAGCCCCCACUCACAUCCCUUAAAUUAAGAGAUUUAUCGGCGUGAUUGUUUCAUCGUCAUAUAGUUUAAUUAUAUUAUAAUAUGAUGGGUUGUGUGAUUAUUCAUCGAUUUGUGGUUACGUCAGGUGUUUAUGAUUAAACUGAAUUUGAAUAACUCAGCGUAUCAAUGAUUUAGUAUUACUGUCUAGUGAUAUUUCUCUUUAUUUAUAAGUGAGAGGUCUUAAGUUCGAUUAUCGCCAAAGAUGAAUUUGAACCACAUUAUGGCUAGCCCAUUAUGAGGUAAAAUUCCAAAAUUAAGUGAUAUUUCUCUUCAUUUGUAAGUGAAAAGUCUUAGAUAAUAUCAUUUGUUAAAAAAGAAGAAGAUAUGUAUGAAACUAAAAGUGAAUUUUAACUUUCAUAAGAAGAUUUUGUCCAUAAGAAGAUUAAAUUAGUCAUGAAGGAAACUCAUGCCUUAUUAUUUUAUCAUUUUGAGAGAAUUGAAGGGAAUAAGUUUUACUUGAUCUCUAUUCUAUUUAAUUUCUUCAGCUUAGACAAAAUUCCAAAAUUAACAUUCAUUUCGUACUAAAAAAUACAUUGAAUUUAGUGUUUUACCUAGUACAAUCCAUUCUUAAUUUUCAAACAUGGGCCAAGUUCGUCAUAUAUUAAUCAUGUCGUUCAUUAUAUUACAAAUAUUUAUUAGUAAUACCAGACGAUAUUACGACCCACCACACAUAAAAGUUAUCGCUCGAAAAAGUUAUCUCCGAUGAUGUCAAUUUAUAUUAUAACACGUGAACUAUCAACACUUUAUAACGGUUGUGAUUGUCAUGCAAAAAAAAAAUAAAAAAUUCAACCAUGUCGUUCAUUCAUGUUUCUAUACAUUUAUUAGUAACAGAAUGACAAAACAACUCGCCACACAUAAAAAUAAUCGCUUGGAAAAAUUAUCAUCCAUGACGUCAAUUUACGUUGUAACACAUGAAUCGACCAAAAACUAUUUUCACUAAAAAUGAUGGUAUUAUCUACACACUCUUUUUUAGUAGCACCCAUACAUUCUUUUUUAUCUUAUAUAAAUUUCUUUUAAUUUUUAUCCGACAGAUUGAAUGAAUUAAAGAUAAUAAACGACAUAACUAUGUUGUAUGUUACUAUACACCUAAUCAUCUGUCACGUAUUUUUUUCACUUAAUUUUAAUUAACUUUCACAUUAAAUAUUACUUUUACUUUAUAAUUAAAGGGGGGAGAAAAAUGGUCUUGGAAGAAAACAGUUGGACUGAAAUGGAAUCAACUUCUUCUAGCCGGACCCACCAUCCCCUCUAGGGAGUUCCCGCGUGUUACCCACGUCCACGUUUCCGCGUGAGCACCCUGCUGGCUAAUGCGUUUCUUCUACUCACUGCUUCUGCGUUUUUGGUUUGCCAUUCGUAUUCGUCGUACUGCUUUUCGGCCCUCCUCCUCCAUCCUGCUUUCUUCUCUCUCCUCACUUUCUCUCUACUCGAUAAAUUAAAUUAAUAAUUUAAUAAACCGACUCACUGUUAAAAAGGUCUUAGGGGCUUCCUCUCAACUUUCAAUAAAGCCUCUCAUCGUCCCGGAGAUACCUUCUUCCUCUGUUCUCUCGUUCUCACUAACCUCUGCUUCUCCAUAUCUGCUGGGUCCCUGUAAGUUUCUCUGUAGGGCCAUCAAACCCAGCUGGCUUCGCCAUUAUUAUACCUUCACCAAGCAGCAAACCCCCAUAUCUCAGACCCAUCAAACCCCACUUUCUCUUUCUACUCUUUUCUCCACUUCACUCUCUGUCUCUGCUCUUCUCAGCUAUUUCAAGGACUACCCAGAUGGCUGAUACGUUAGAUGACCUUGCGUUUUGGCUCCCCACCCAGAUUCUCAACGACGAAGACCCACCCGCCAUGGAGCUCAACUCCAACGCCAAGAAAAGUGGGGGGUUCGGAUUACGGUUCGACGCUGAUGCUCCGAAGGCUCUGUUGCCGUUUGAGUUUCCUUACGGCGGUGCUUUUGGGGUUUCGUCGGAUUUCAGUUCGCCGGUCGAGUCGAGCGAGACUGAGAGCGAUGAGGAAGACUACCUCACCGGGCUGACCCGCCAAAUGGCUUACUCUACUCUCGACGACGAGUUCAACUUCAAGCACUCCAACUCUGCUUUCGCCUCCGAGAAGCCAAAGGUAUUAGAAAGAGUAGUAAUUUCUGUUUUGUUUCUAGACGACGCCGUUUUAAUGGCGGUUCUGAUUUUUUUCCUGAUUCGCAGGGUUGGGUCGCUUCUGGUUCUCCCCAAUCGACUCUCUACGCAGUCAGCAGUGGUUGCGGUUGCGGACAGGGCUCGAGCCGCGGAAGCCCAAACGCCCAGUCGCCGCCGGCCACCUGGGAUCUGCUGCAUGCAGCUGCAGGGGAAGUUGCCAAGAUGAGCAUGAACCAAAGCAGAGGCCUCCUGGAUCCUCCACGAAAGCCUUCCCCCGUCUCUGUCCCCACCAACAACCCAGAUGCUGCUUAUUGCUUCCACCAGCAGUCGCUUUCUCACAAGCACUUGCGAGCCGCUCAGGUACUAAGAAAAAACUCAAAACAUUUUAUUCAAAUCUCUUUGGGGACUUUUAUCGAACACCUCACACUCAAAUGUUUUCUGCUCCGUUUUUUCCGCAGUUUAAGCUGUUGAGGCAGCAACAGAUGAUGAAGGAGCAGAGCGCGGCGGUCUGGGGAGCACAAACUCGAUAUCCUCCGCCGCAGACUCAGCCGCAGACCCACCCAAACUUCCAAACCAGAGCGAGAAACACUCUCAACAUUCUCAACGCUCGGCCUGUGGGUUUGUCGCCAUCUGCAUGGCCGCCUCUGCAACAAGCUAAGCAGCAGCAAGAGUACAACAGAAAGGGGUCCGGAUUGAGAGCUGUUUAUCUCGGAAACCAAUACCCAUCUGCCAAAAUUGAGCGUUCCGGCACCGGCGUCUUCUUACCCCGCCAAGUUGGCACCGAAUCCGAAACCCGCAAGAAGCCAGGUCCACCCCCUCUCUGCCCCCACUUCAUUUUUCACUUCCAGACAAUUUUAUUUCACUUUUUAAGUAAAACCCAGUUAAAAAAAUCCGACUCUUUUUAAGUAAAACCUAGAACUCAAUUUUUUUUUAAGCUUGUGGGUCACAUCAUUAAGAUUUUUGGAUGACUUUCUGGGUAUUUUGGGUGCUGGGUGGUUGAGAUUUGAAUGUUAUUAAAUUUUGUUGGCUCUGGUUUUUUCAGAUCUGGGCGUUGUUCUUCAAAGGCAUUAAUUUGGUCUUCACUUUCUCUUUCGAUUUGGUUGGCUGAUUGAAAUUUGUGUUUUCUUUUGGUACAGUUUGCUCCACAGUUCUACUCCCAGCUCGAGUCGUGCAGGCUCUGAACCUGAACAUUGAUGACAUGCAACAUCCCCAGCUUCAGCGUCGUUUUAAUGGCAAACUGAACUCUGAUUACGGUAAAAAUUAACACCUUUUCUCUUGUUAUACUUUUUUAUUUAUAGUUUUACUGAUAUGCCAAUCUUAAAUUUACAAUUUGUGUUUUGUGUACUCAUUUGUUUCGUUGAAUUUGCAGAGGUUGCUCUUCAGCUUCGGAGCAACGCCGCCGCCAGAACCGCCAUUUCGCAGCAGAAGCGCAUCAUUCGGCCGCAGGCGGCAGUAGGCAGCGAGAUAAGGCUCCCCCAGGAGUGGACUUAUUAGGGCUCUGUUUGGAUUUUGGGAAUUUUAGGGAGGCAAGGAAAUGCAAGCUUGCUAUAGGGUUUUUAAUGGGUUUUAUUUUACAAUAGUAGGAGGUUUUAGAACAGAAGAUAAUAGUAGUUUUUGAGAAGGACAGGACAGGACAGCAAAACCGGUUGGACAAGACGAAGAAGAAGAAGAAAAUGUUUUUUUGGAUUAGGGUUGUUAGGGUGAAAAAUAAAAUGUCUGCUUUGAUUGAAAAGUGGAUAUGGUACAAGCUGUUUUAGGGUUUAGCAGAAAAGCAGAAGCAGCUUUUGUCAAGGAACAAGGCAGUGGUGGACUGGACUGUUAUCCCUCUUUUGUUUUAGUCCUUGGGAUAAUGUUUGUGUUUGGGAUCUCAUAUAAAAAUCAAUGAAGUCUGAAUUGUAAAGGGUUAAGACCUAGUUUUGGAUUCCAAUCUUAAUCCAGUACACCCAUCAUGGCCAUGCAAGUGCAGUUAGUAUUUAUAAUAAUAAAAUGGAUGUAUUUAUAUGCAAUUUCCUUUGUUUUUCUUUAAUUAUUUUGGGUUAUUUGUCACGUACCCGGCACGUGUACAGUUAUCAUGAUGUUUUGUACCAAUGAUAUAAAAUUUGUAACUUUCUUAGUUGGUGUUUUUGGCAUGAGAUGUAAUGGUAUGGCUGGAUAAGUAAAUUUCAUUUAUCAGACGUUACAUGACGUUACAUUAUUGACACGAGAGGUUACUAUGGCCGCUGAAUCAUGCUUUAGAUUUUUGGGGCAGUUGACACGAGAGGUUACUAUGGCCGCGGAAUCAUGCUUAGGUUACUAUGGCCGCUGAAUCAUGCUUUAGAUUUUUGGGGCAGUUGACACGAGAGGUUACUAUGUCCGCCGAAUCAUGCUUUAGAUUUUUGGGGCAGAGGGAUUUGGGUUUUGGUUCCAAGUUGCAUGUAUAUUGGCCAACUUGGUUCUGUUCAACUUGUAUUAGAUUGAAGCUAAAAAGCAUAUACUAAUUAUAUCGCGGUUCAAAAAGCUCUAAAAGAAGCUGCUUAUUAUGACUUUUGCUUUUCACCUUAGUCCGGCAAGAUGGAUAUUUUAGUUUCAUGGUCACAUAUUAACCAUUAAUUAUGUUUGUUUUAGUUGUUAAUUAAAGCAAAUUUUAGUUAAUUAAUUAAUUAAGAGAUGUUGUAAGAUAACUAAAUUUAACUUUAAUUCAUCUCCAAUAGAUGCUGUAAAUAGUUGAAAUAGUUUUUUGACGCUCUUCGCUUGCUAGUUUAAUAAAAACUAGUAUCUUAGAAAUUAUCAAACUGUUGAGUUUUUUUAUGAGUAAUGUCGGUAGACCAAAUUUUUAUCGCAUUUAUAAAUCAUGUAAUGUGUCGUCAAUAGAAAAUAAAAAUGUUAUUCAACAAUUAAAUAAUAAUUCAAUUAUUAACAAUCACAUCAUAUGAUUUCUAAUCAAUUCAGUCAUUGUGGGAAGACUCUAUUAUGAAUUUCUAACCACAUUCUAACGAAAUUUAAUUGAAAUAGUUGGUCUCUUUGCCAUUAUUUCUUUAUUUAAACCCCACACUCAGUCUAAGUUCAACCCCAAAAAAAAUAAAAAAAUAAAAAAUAGAAUUUUUUACACUUAAAAUUCCAAUUUUAGCCUUAUUUGGCCCGCCCUAGAGAAACUUAACUAAAAAAAAUGGAAAAAGAAAGGGGUGUGCUAUCCACACACCAUUUUUUACUUCUCACACAUCAUUUGUUACUUCUUACAAUAUUUUUUUAUAUGUAAAAUUACUAAUUUACCCUCUAAUGUAUCACGUGUAAGUAAUGUGACUUAAAUUACCGAAAAAUUGAAUAUAGCAUCUCCAAUAUAAUAUUGGAUAUGUAAUUAGCAUAUUUUUAUAAUUCAAGACUGAUUUUUAUGAAAAAAAUAAUUUAGAAAUAUAAUUUUCACUCAAGUGAUAAUUUAAUGACUAAAUUGACAAUUCAUCCUUUAUUUUAUUAGUUUUUGUGGGAGUUUAACUGUUAAGUAAGAGGCUAAAAUUGGAAUUUAAAGUGUGAAAAAGGAACUUGUUGGGGGAAAAUUUAGACGGGGUGUGUAGUUUAAAUAGAAAAACUGUUGACAUUUGAUUAGACAAUCCAAAGGAAACGAAAUUGGUUUGGUUUUGGAGAGAAAAAGGUGACGAUUGAGAUUUCAUGAGAGUGACGGACAGAGAGUUUGCUUAGGAGGGAAGCAGCACCACCGUCGCCAGAUGUUAAUUAGUGGGACCAAUGAGUGCACUGCUUUUCACGUGGCACACUCCCUCGUGGCCCAUGCGGGAACUAGGAGAAGAAUUAAUGAAAGGAAUUAGAUCAUCUUCGAAUCUCUUCACUGAGGAUUCCAAUGUUCAAUUAGUAACAAUCGUUUAUCAAAGAUCGUACGGUCAUAAUUUUUUUCUUUUUAUAUUUUUCAUGCGAAAUGAGACUGCUUUACUUUUGAAAAUAUAAAAAACAUUUAAUUAUGAUCAUACGAUAUUUGAUGAACGGUUAAUAGUAAUUGAUCAUCUGGAUCCCCAAUGAGGAGAUCUGGAGAGAAUCUAAUUCCUUUAUGAAACAAGUUUUUGUUCUAUGUGUAAGUUUUUAUUUUAUAAAUUAGAGAAAUGUUAGGAGUGUCUCAAAAGUCAAAUUUUUUAUGAAUUUUUUAUCGUCUCACAAUCUAAUGUCAAUUCCGUGCCAUAUGUAUAAAACAUUGUAAAAAAUAUGAGGUGGCAAAGAGUCUCAUUUACAUUCCUCCUAUAUAUUGUUUUAUUAUUGAAUUAGAACGCUUUUGUGACCUUUUAUUACUGAAUAAAAUCUCUUUAACUUUGUUUUAUUAGAUUUAACUAGGGCUGGGCAUGGGCCGGGCGGGCCCAAUUUUGGAGGAACCAGACCUACCCGUUUUAAAGUGUAAUGGGGUGGGCCGGGCUGGGUACAAGGAUUGUAAGUUUGGAAACCGUACCUAACCUGACCUGUUUGAAACGGGCCGGUUUGGGACGGGUCCACGAGUCCAAUUCCUUUUUUUUGCCAUCCUCUCUCUGAGAUUUCUUAGUCCCCAGUACCCAAACAAAAACCCACAUCUUGGAUCUCAUUGCCCCUCCAUAUCCUACAAAUUUCCUAUUUCCUAUUCCCUUGCCGCUUCAGAUCCCACCUUCCCAUUUCCCCAUUCCCAAUUCCUACUUCGGCCACCUCUGCUUUUGUUUUGAUACAGAGCUCCAAAACCGAUUUCUCGAGCAACAUGUGAAGGAUCAAUUUCAAAUCCAUGAGUCUAAACUGUGAGGGAGACAAGCUAACAAUGAGAAACAAGGGGCUUCAUUUUUCAAAUCACAAACAAUCUACCUGUGAAGGAUCAAUUUCAAAUGCAUGAGUUUCUUUUUCUUCAGCCGCAGCUGCUAGUUCUGCUUCAUUUAACAAAUCACUGGGACCAGCUCCAAUUUCACCCAUUGUUUUACUAAUGGUAAAAUCAUCAACAGUUCUUGAAACCCACCUUUUGCAUAAAGAACUCCAUCAAUAGCUAAUACAGUGACAACAACUGCAGCAAUAGCAACCAUACCUGCACCAACAGUUGAACCACCGGUGGUGAAUCGGUGAAGGUCUGGGAUGACGAAGGUAAAUCGGUGACAGUUUGAUUGGAAUCUGUUCGUGCCAGUGAUGUCGGCGUUCGGUGAUGUCGGCAAGGAGAGAUAGGAGUGGGAAAAGAGGCUGGGUCACUCGGAGAAACAAAUCCUAUCCAUUCAUUCCAUUUUAGAAACGGCCCGGGCGAGGCCCCGUGCUUUUACAUAUUUGGAAUCGCCCCGUCCCGUGAAAACCACCUCCCCGCCCCGUUUCUUCUUUAGAAAAAUUGGACCCGGCUUGUACCCGCCUUGAACCGCGAUUACCCGCCUCGACCCGUGGUUCAUAGACCCGUUUGCCCACUCCUAGAUUGAACUGCUACAUGAUUGUUGUAUGUGAACUGAAUAGUGAAAUCAAUUUCAUAUAAGUUAAUCUCAACAACUAGAAGUUAACUCGUUUCCAUGAAAUUGUAUUAUUGGAUGAAAAGGCAUCAUGUCAUAGUAUCAUUGUAUCGAAAUCCUUUCAUGACAUUGUACUAUUAAUCAAAGCCUCAAGACACCACAUGAUUUUGCAUUAUUAAAUUGGAUCACUACAUUGUAGAAUUCGUUUAAUGCAGGAAAGUGAUUUUUAUACCUUUUUAGCUUCGUACACAUUCCUAUUUAAUUUGACUAUAAAUUCUGUUAAACUUAUUCAAUCUAACCUCGAUUAAUAGGGAAAAUUAGAAUCCUCUAUAGUUUUUUUAUAUCAUUUAGAUUAAAUAUCUAUGCCUUUUUAAAAUUUGAUUAAAGUGCUUUGACCAAUAGUCACCUACAACAUCCCACAUAGCCUAGGGGAGUGGAUUCUCUAAGCUUUAUAUGUAUAUUCCUAUCUCUACCUAACACGAGGCCUUUUGGGAGUUCACUGGCUUUAGGUUCCAUCGGAAUUCCGAAGUUAAGCGAGUUCACGCGAGAGCAUUCCCAGGAUGGGUGACCCACUAGGAAGUUCUCGUGUAAGUUCCCAGAAACAAAACCAUGAGAGCGUGGUCGGGGCCCAAAGUGGACAAUAUUGUGUUACAGUGGAGUCCAGCCUGGGAUGUGGUGGGGGCCCGGGUCGGGAUGUGACAAUUUGGUAUCAGAGCCAAUCCCUGGCUGGAAGUGUGCCGACGAGGACGUCAGGCCCCUAAGGGAGGUGGAUUGCAACAGCCCACAUCGCCCAGGGGAGUGGAUCCUCUAAGCCUUAUAUGUAUAUUCUCAUCUCUACCUAGCACUAGGCCUUUUGGGAGCUCACUGGCUUCGAGUUCCAUUGGAACUCCGAAGUUAAGCGAGUUCGCAUGAGAGCCUUCUCAGGAUGGGUGACCCACUGGGAAGUUCUCGUGUGAUUUCCCAAAAACAAAACCGUGAGGGUGUGGUCGGGAUUCAAAACGGACAAUAUCGUGCAACGGUGAAGUCGAGUCCGAGAUGUGGUGGGAGCUCGGGCCGGGAUGUGACACACCUCUAUUUUUUAAAAAUUAAAUGCUAAAUUGUAGCAUUAUUGUGAAAAUAAAUUGAAUCUAAUUUUUUUUUUUACAAUUAUCUCUAACGGAGGAGAGUGUGAUCAAAAUGCUAGAUUAUAAAAAAAUUUAUUACAAUAAUAUGCAUAUAACACCAAAAUUAUGAUAAAAAAAAGUUUAAUCAAAUCGUUAAAAAACAUGAAUGUUUGAUUUAAAAAAUUCAAAACUAAAACGUCUAUAUCAAAAGAUUUCAUAAUAAAAAUAGAUGUGUGAAUCCCUUCUUGUAAAUUGUUCUUAAAAAUUAAAGUGUGGGACCCGCAUAACAUCACCAGUAAGGCCACUGUUUGCCGCAUGUGGUGGUGAAGUGGUUGCGGUGGAGUGGUGGUCAAGCACGCCGCAGCCAGGAGGGCCAUGCAAAGUUGUUUUGAAAUGAAAUCACAUGGCGCGCACUACCACUGGUCAUGGGGGUUUAACGCGCGUGAUUGGCGCUUAGGGGAGGUAGGGAUAGUUGUUUGGUAUGGACCCACGUCGGUCGAUGUGUCGUAAGUGGUGGUGGUGGGACGUGGGUAGGUACUUGGAAAGUUGGGCUUGUGGUACUAGCUACUACCUACUGGAUAUGUGUGCGUUAAUAUCUCUCUUCCAUCUUGCUGCAUGUGAGUUUGACUCAGUCUUACGUGCACUUUCUUUUCUUUUCCACAUCCUCCUAUCUUUGGACGAGUAGGGAUGGACACGGGCUGGAUUUAAUCGGUCAUAUAAAUAAAAAAUUAACAAAACCACUUAAGUAUAACGCUUUGAUGAUCACUUAGUACUACGGUUUAGUAGUAUUUUUUUUCAUUUGUAAGUGAGAGAUCUUAGGUUGCCACUUAGUAUUACGAUCUUGUGACAUUCCUCUUCACUUCUAAGUGAAAAGUCUUAUGUUCGAUUCUCGUCAAAGGUGAAUUUGAAUCAUAUUAUCGCUAGCCCAUUAUGAGGCUAAGCCACCCCCUCAUCUUAGUGUAGGUAAUAUCAUUUGUUCAAAAAAAUUUGAAAGAUCUUAUGUUUAAUUCUCGACAAAAAUAAAUUUAAACUACAUCAUCAUAGUUAGUUUAUUGUGUUUGUGAGGCAUAACCUAUUCCCACAAAAAAAAAAGAAAAAAAAAAGAAGGAAUAAUGCUUUGAUUUCGAUCCAUUUUUGACAAAAAUUCUUAAGAAAAUAAAACAAAACAAAACCAAAUAAAUAUUAAUUGUAAUUUUUUUUUUGAAUUUCUACCUAAUUAAAAUAACAAAAAUAUCAUAAUUUGCCACAUUUUUAUUUCCUAAUACAUCAAACCGUCCCAAAAUCUUUACAUGCCAUCAAAGUUCAAAGUUUAGUAACUACUAGAGUCACAACUCAAAGAACAAUAACUUCAAUAUUUCAUCAGCCUUCAAAUUCAACAUCCUUAAUUAAUAGCUAAUAGAAAAUACACGUGUAAAACAAAAUCAUAUAAAGGUUAAAUGUAAGUGGUUGGUACAUUUCGGUUUAGGUUGGUUUUACAAAGGCACAAAACUUUAACCAAAUCAAUCAUUAUAGUUUGGUUUGGUUUUAAACCGUUUGACUUUUUCUUUGAUCGAAACCAAACCUUCGCAACCACUGCAGUUUAUAUUUAGCAGGUUUGUGGACAAUUUUGCUAAUAUGAGAUUGUCUUCUUCAACUUUGGUAUGACAUGAUUCCCCUCUGUUGAUGGUUCGGGCUGCUUUGUUUUCAGACUAUGUUUGCUUUUCUGGCUUCCGUUUCUUAAAUUAAUAUGCAUCUCGACAUACAUGUUUGUCUCAUUUUCUAAUUUUUUUCUUAACCUUGUGAUGUUGCUUGUUUUGUUAUGUAGGUUUAAACAUUUAGGUUCGUCUUUAGACUUAGAUUUCAUGUCCCCGCCUUACCUUGUAUCUUUGCUGUUUUUGUUUCUAGAAGGAUAAUGUUUAUGUCUCCCCUUCUUUUCUAUAUAUCUUUAAUCAUUUUUUCUUGUAUUAUGAGGGGUUAGGUUUAUGUCCCUCCUGACUAGGUAUACCUUUUUUUUCGCUAUCAAUAAAAUUCUUCUCAUACCGUUGAGGUUUCUAAAAAAUAUAUAUAUAAAUAUAUAUUAGCGGGUUUGUUUGAUUUGGUCGGACUGAUGUCCACUCCUAUCUACGAUAGCUUAUUAGUUUUUAUCCGUCUGUUUUGUUUUCUGAAAUUUGCAUUUCCCUUAUAUAUUUUGAUACACUCACAUUAACUUAAAUUAAGACAAAGGCAUGUUUAUACACCGUCGUCAAAUUCUGAACCAAACCAUAUAACAAGGCAAGCAAAGUAUUAAGUCAACUUUGGGCUUCACAUUAUUGUUUGAGAUGACAUAGAAGUCCUUCCUCUUAAAUUACAUUAACUCGACUGCGUAAUAACACGGUCUAGUGAUAUUACUCCGUACUUUUAAGUGAGAGAUUUUAGGUUCAAAUCCUAUUUAUUCACCCACUAUCUAGUUAAAUAUAUAGUUGUAUCAAAAUUACAUCUACUCGAUUUACAUUAUUGUUUGAGAUGACAUGAAAGUCCCUCCUCUUAAAUUACAUCAACUCGAAUACUUAAUAACACAGUCUAGUGAUAUUACUCUGUACUUUUAAGUGAAAGAUUUUUGGUUCAAAUUCUAUUUAUUCACCCGCUAUCUAGUUAAAUAUAUAGUUGUAUCAAAAUUACAUCUACUCAAUUUAGCUGGUUAACAUUACAUGUGAUUUAACAAAGAUGCUUCAAAUAUAGGAUCUUAUAAUACAAAGGAUGUGAUAUAUGCGCGAGUCGUUACAUGCAUAGUAUACAAAUUAUCGAACAUGUCAAAACUCGAUAGUUGUAUCUGGUUAAUUAACUUUUGCUUUGUAGCACUUAGUAGUCUGGAGUUCAACGCAAUCGCCAAAGUUAGAGGGAUGAUCGCCAGAUGGGUUGGCAGAUGAAAGGGGGUAUGGAAGCAAGAUCAGAAAACGGGAAAGCGGAGGUUGGUGAUUGCUAUGGGUGCUUAUUGGGGCGGUGGAAAGAGGAGGUGGCCAGUCGUGGUUUUUUAAACAAAAAAAAGAAGAUAAUAAUAAAAGAAAAGAAGAAUUUGGAGCUGGUAAGACCAAUGAACGAUUGACAGAUUCCUAUCUACUAAACUACUCCAUCACCCCAUACUUGUCAUCCCUGGAGCAUGACUAUGAUCCGUGCCGUAUGUACUUGGAGUUGGAAGCGUGCACAUUAGCUUGACAGGAUGUGAUCUUCCAAUACUAAUAAAAAAAGGGUGUGAUCUCUCUAUGUACCCAAAUUUGAUUAUCUCUCCCGCGCAAGUUAAACUAUUUUAGAAUAAAAUACCACUUGCAUAAAGGGAUAAAAAAUAACAAGAUGAGAAUGAGUGUUGUAAGGGAUAGGUUCUCAUUCCCGGUCGCUUUCAGGUAGUAUGUUCAUUGCUAAGUGACCAUUGUUGAGUGGUGAUCCCAUCAAGCAAGACGAGAUCACUACUUUUCUCAGUAAUGAACUUCCUUGAGUUCUUCCUUAUCUUGAUUCUAAAGUUUUAAUGUAAACUUAUUGUCCGAGUCUGAGAAGAAAUUAUACCGUCGCAAGUAGUUACGAUACUGUUUAAGCACAACAAAGCGUGCUUGGAUUUUUAAAAAAUCUUUAAAAGGGCGAAAAUGGAUUUUUAACUCUUGCUAACCUUCGCGUUUUUAAUUAACUGCAAAGGGAUUUGCAUUCGCUUCUACCCCGGUUCACUCCUGAUAACCAGCAAGCCGAAAAAUAAACCUUUCAAUCAUCUUAGCACUCGAGAGGAAUUCCCCGAGUUAUCUCUUUGAAUCAUGUUAUUAACUAGGCUGUUACGUCAUCGAGUCAGAUCAAUGUUAGCAAGCUACGACAAGAUCAAAGAAGACUUGUUGAAUCCACCAGUAUUGGUCCCAACUCCUGGAAGGCCAUUCUCAUGUACCUAAAUGUCCUAGAGUCAUCAAUGGGCAUUGUCCUCGGGAAUCAUGAUGAGUUAGGCAAGAAGAAAGUCUUACUACUGCAGUUUAUAUUAGCAGGUUUGCUAAUAUGGGGUUGUCUUCUCCAACUUUGAUAUGUCAUGAUUUCUCUCUGUUGACAGUUUAAGCUGCUUUAUUUUUAGACUAUGUUGACUUUUCUGACUUCCGCUUCUUAAAUUAAUGUGCAUCUCGGCAUACAUGUUAGUCUUAUUUUUUGGUUUUUUUCUUCUUAAUCUUGUGAUGUUGCUUGUUUUGUUUUGCAGGUUUAAACCUUUAGGUUCAUCUUUAAAGAGGUUAGAUUUCAUGUCCCCCACCCCCCCUCCUUGUAUCUUUGUUGUUUUUGUUUCUAGAAUGAUAAAGUUUAUGUCUCCAGUUCUUUUUCAUAUAUCUUUAAUCCUUUUUUCUUGUAUUAUGAGAUCAUCUCCAAUGGUUGGGCUAAAAGCCAAAUAUUUUAGCCUGGAAAAUUUAGCUUUUAGCCCAUAAACAAUUUUUCUACUCCAACCAUUAGACCAUCUCCAAUGGUGGCUUAUAACCUAAAUUUUCCCCUUCCCCCCCCCAAAUCCACCCCAACCCAAAACCUAAAACCUAAAACUUAAAAUGAAGGUAAAUAUAGGUCACAAAUUUAGCCCACAAAAGCUGUUGGGACCCACGGAUGAGAGUGAAAAGUGGGCCUUGUCCUAUAGCCAACGGCUACUUUUCUUCAUCGGGUGGUGGUGUUAAUUGGACCGUUGGUUAAUCCAACGGUCCACAUUCAAUUUUUUUGUUGUUUUAUAUUUAUAUAUUUAUUGAAUCUAACGGCUUAAAUCGAAUAUAAUCAAAUCUAACGGUAAAAAAAAAGAUCUAACGGUCCAAAUUUAAAUCCAAUGGCAAGAAUAAUCUUAAAAUUUAUCGGAAAUUUAAAUAUUUUUUUCCAACGGCUAGAAUAUAGAUAUUUUUUUAAGUUUAUGUGGUUUAUCAUGAUUUUCAUGUAUUGAUUUAGUGAUUUUUCAAAAUUUAUCGGAAUUUAAAUAUUUUUAGGUUAAAAUGUUCAUAAAAUUAAUUUAGGAUAGUCUACAUAAUUUUUUUUUUUAAAGUUAAUUUAAAAAAAAAAUAGCCUUAAUUCAUUUUUUGAUAAUCUGGGGCUAAAAUUUUAGGCCAAAAGGGUUGGAGUAGAAAAGCUGUUUCUGGGCUAAAACUUAAAUUUUCUGGGCUAAAUAUUUUUAGGUUUUAGGUUAGGAUUGGAGAUGGUCUUAUAGCCUAAAAUUUUAGCCCGGGAUUAUUAAAAAAUGAACUUAGGCUUUUUUUUGUUAAAUUAAUUAAAAAAAAUAUGUAGACUAUCAUAAAUUAAUUUUAUGGAUAUUUUAACCUAAAAAAAAUUUAAAUUCCGAUUUAUGGGCUAAAUUUCGGGGGAUCUGGCCUUGGUUUAGCAUUUAGCAUUUAGCCCAAAUUUUCCCCUUGGGUUGGAGUGGGUUUGGGGGGAAAUUUUGGGGGGUAAUUUGGCUUUUAGCCCAUCAUUGGAGUUGGUCUGAGGGGUUAAGUUUAUGUCCCUCCUGACUAGCUGUACCAUUUUUUUCGAUAUUAAUAAAAUUCUCCUCGUACCGUCGAUAUUUCUAAAAAUAAUAAUAAAAAAAAAGCUAGUUUGUUUGAUUUGGUCGGAUUGAUGUCCACUCCAGUUACGAUAGCUUAUUAGAGUUUAUCGGUCUCUAUUGUUUUCUGAAAUUUGCAUUUCCCUUAUAUAUUUUUAUGCACUCACAUUAACCUAAAUUAAGACAAAGGCGUACACAUACGUUUAUACACCGUCGUAAAAUUCUGAACCAAACCAAAUAAUUAACAAGGCAAUCAAAGUGUUAAGUCGGAACUUUGGACUUCACAUUAUUGUUUGAGAUGAUAUAGAAGUCCCUCCUCUUAAAUUACAUCAACUCGGCCGCUUAGUACCAUGAUCUAGUGAUAUUACUCUAUACUCUUAAGUGAAAAAUUUUAGAUUCGAAUUUUGUACAUAAUGAGUUCGAUUUAUUCACCCACUAUCUAGUUAAAUAUAUAGUUGUAUCAAAAUUACAUCAACUCGAUUUAGCUGGUUAACAGUACAUGUGAUUUAACAAAGAUGCUUCAAAUAUAUAGGAUCUUAUAAUACAAUGGAUGUGAUAUAUGCGCGUUACAUGCAUAGUAUACAAAUUGGUUCCGAAGCUCAUAUAGAGAAUAGAACUUGAACAAGGCCUUCCCGACUUUACCUUCUCAAGCAAGCCUGAACGACCUUACUGUCACAACUUGAAUGGCGACUAGCUUUACUUGAUAGAGUUGCUUUCCAUGCCGUUAUAGGCAACCGGCCACCCUCUAAUUACUAGACUAACCUGCUAUAAUAAUUUCAUAAACACCUAGCGAAGAUAUGACAGACAAAUUAAGUAACCCUAUGUUCGAUCUGACAAUACCAUACCAUAAUCAAAAGGUAGGAUAACUCAUUCUACUAGGAGAUAUUUCAUUGUUCGCAAAAAUAUCCACUGCUUCAACUUACUGGAACUCAUUUGAGAUGUGAUGUUACUAAAGUCUAUGACUAUGUACAUACAUGGUGAAUUUGGUGGUCCUAUGGGUCAUGAGACACUGUAAAAGUUGAAAAUAUGGGGGGAGGGUCGCCGAAGGACCCUAUGACGAUCUGGUACAGAACUUGAAAUUGAUCGAUGAAAUCCUUCUUGGACAUAAUUCGACUGGCAUUGGGACAUGCCUUGGAAGCUGUCGAUAGACCUAAGCAGCAAGCCUUGGAAGAUAUUGAUAGACUCAGGCAAAUAAUGGCACCCCCAAAUAAUGGCACCCCCAUCAUGUGCUCAACUAAAUAUCUCAACGAAAAACUGAAUCAUAUCUUAAAUUAAAAAUGAAUUAUUGGGUUCCUUAAAUUAAAAAUGAAUUAUUGGGUUCCUUAAGUAGAUCAUGGGUUGCCCUAAUUAGGUGAACCACAAUUUAUCACAUGUAAAUAUAUAUCAUUGGUGCCACUUGUCCGUACGGCUGUGAACGAGCCGAGUCAAACCGAAAUCACCAUGCUCAAGUUUAGCUUGUUUAAUUUUUUCUGAACUCGAGCUAGGUUUGUCUUGGCUCUUACUUCUUACACAAGCCGACCUCAUGCGAGCUUAAAAAAUUCGAGUUCAAUACCGAGCUCAAGCUGUUUCGAACUUUUUCUUAUAGUAAAUUGGUUUGAUUUUGUAAAAAGCUUCUGCAAUAUCAUGAUAGGGUUUUGGCUUAAAAGUUGAACACCGUAUAAUCUUUUUAAUAUAGUGGUCGAAAGUAAUCAUAAAUCAUGAUAUAUUAUUCCUUAGUAAUCGUUAAUCAUGAUAUUGUGUUAAGUAAGAAAAAAAGUUAUAUAUUACAAUACAGUGUUUUGUGAAUUAUAUUAAUCGAACGAUAUAAUUUUUAGUGUACGCUACCAUACAAUAAACAUAUAACAAUAGUUUACCGAUUGAGCUUUCGAUGAGCCAAACACAAACCGAACCCGGUGCAAGCUCGAACUAGGCUGCUCAUGUGGCACCAAAUAUCUCGCUCCUGAGCACGAGUCACCACCGUAUCAUCUCUAGGACCCAGCAACCCCUCAGUAAGUGGUAAAUGGUAAAUCCAUGUACCAAUUACCAACGGUAAAAAAUUGCCCUUCGUCGUCUUUAAUUCGAGCGGUUCAAUUUGUAACCGUUUGUUAAGAAGUGGGACUGGGAAAGCAGUAAAAAUAUCAACCGAGGCUGCGGAACUGGAGGCUUUGAAAAUCAACGACUCGUGUGUCAACUGGGUCUGGAAUCGUCCUCGAUCUUCCGAAUUUCAGGUUAGCUGAGUGAAAUUAUGAAGAUAAUUGACUGUACGGAAUCUCCGCUCUUGCUGGUCGAGCUGAGCGGAAGCUUGUUUGUUCAUGUAGGGCUCGGGUUUUGACGUCGAUCGGCGAUGGCUGUUGAAGAAGUUGCCGAGCAGGUAGUUGCGCCGCCGCAGAAGGCGAAGGAGCCUUCCGAAGAUGAGAAACGGUAGUUUUUUUUUUUUUUAUUGGAAUCAAGCAGUGAAAUGCUAUAUUGAAGUUCAUUGAUUUUUAUUUGAUUUUAUUAAUUCAGGAGGAAGAAAAUAGCGGCCGGAGCUUUGAUGAAAGCGGUGAUAAGGCCCGGUGGAGGCGAUUCGACCCCUUCGGAUGGUUAUCAGGUUAGAGCUUGUGUUGAUUUUUGAUGAGCUAUUACUGCAAUUGAAUUGUGUCACAUUAAGAAUUUUGGUGGAUAACGUUACGGAAGGAAAUUGCGAAAGCUAAAUUGCGUUGUGCAUUUUGCAGGUUGUAUAUCAUUCCACUGUUAGAACAAUGGAUGGAGUUGUUGUCGAAUCGUCCCGAUCGGAAUAUGGAGGCAAGUUGGGUGCCAUGGUACUAAUUAGAUUUUAGUAUGUAUAGAGAUUAGUGGACUUGUAAAUGACACUCGUUAUAUGUUUUCCCCCUAAAUAGCUUUUGUGUUGUCUUGUAUUCUAUGAUUUACCUAAAGUUGUUGAACGAAAGUAAUGCAUUUUAUUUUUCCUAAUUUUAUUUCGACUUGAGUAAAUGAGUUUCCAUGUUAAAAUGCUCUGUUAUGUUCAUUGAAUUGAAUAAAUACUUAUUUACAGGCAAGGGUACUCCUAUUCGACAUGUUUUGGGAAGGAGCAAGAUCAUAGUGGGUUUGCUAGAAGGACUUCCAACAAUGCUGAAGGGUGAAGUUGCAAUGGUAAUAUCGUCUUGGUUCAGUGAGCUUUGUCUUUUGCCUAUGAAUGUGUGCAUCUUUGGCUCAUGUUUACAAAAUUGUAUUAUUUAUUAUUUCAGUUCAAAAUGAAACCCCAAGUGCACUACGGUGAGGAUGAUUGCCCAGUUUCAGCACCCAGCGGCUUUCCAAAGGAUGACGAACUUCAUUUUGAAAUUGAGAUGAUAGAUUUCUUUAAAGCCAAGGCAAGAAUUUCAAAACAGAAAUCUCAUGGUUGAAAUUGCUUGCAGUACAAUUGAUUGGACGGUGGUCAAUGCACUAGGCUACUCAUUGGUUCUGAUCUUAUUUAUUUCAUUUUGGUUAAUUUUCAGGUCGUUAGUGAUGACUUGGGAGUUCUAAAGAAGGUAUGGGAAAUUAAUUGUUGCACUUUUGUUCUGACUUAGGAGCAUGCUGAUAUAACUCACAAACGCUUUCAGAAUAUUUGUUCGAUUAUGAUUGAUGUGAAUCGCUAUAAUGUAGGUAAUAACUGAAGGUCAGGGUUGGGAAUCGCCAAGGGAACCUUAUGAAGUAAAAGCCUGGUAAACACCUUUUUUUUUCCCUUCCCAAUAAGUAUUCUGUUUCUGUAAUGAACUGUAAAUAUGAAUGUGUGGAAACGUUCUAAGGGAGGUAUAUGGUUGUUUUCAGGAUUUCUGCGAAGACAGGUGAUGGAAAAGUGCUUGUUUCACGUACUCAAGGAGAGCCAUUUUUCUUUAAUUUUGGAAAGUCAGAGGUUGGUAACCGAUUUCUCAUUACUUGCUUUGUUGGUGUUGAGUCGUUCAUUUGUUUUAUUUCAUGUGACAUUGCUCUUAGCUGUACUUAUCUGAUGGGUUUAAAUUGCAUUUUUGGUGCUAAUUUUCUUCUUUCAUACACUAAAGAGUACAUUAAGACCAAGGAACAAAAUGCCGAUAAUAUCGGCGAUAUUUCGCCGAUAUUAUCCGUUUUUCACGGUACCGAUAUUUUAAUAGGUAUCCAACGGGUUUUCGUCAAAAUAUCGCGAUAUUAUCGAUAAUAUCGCGAUAUUUCCGAAACUAUCGCGAUAUUUUGGAACUGUGCUACUCGGAGAAGAACGCUGGAGCUUCUACAGCUCCGGCCGAUUACAAACGCAAACCUUAGACUCCGAUCUAAUUACCAACGUGAAGAGGAAAGAGAGAGGAGUAAGUUUAUACCCCUGGUUCGCCGUGAAAUGGCCGAAGGUGUUCGGAAAGCUCCUCAACAGUCACGGGUUCGCCGGAGUUGGGUGAGCUUUCCCCCGACCUGAUCUCGUUCCAUAACACACACCCAAGCUUACCUAACCGGAGAAAAUGAAGAAAACUCGCCGGAGGUUUCUGGGUUUCGUCGAUCUUGCAGAGACAAGAGGAAGAGAGAGAAAGACGAGGUUUUGAUGGUGAUGCUGUCUACGGAACGAUGGUGUGGGUGCCGUGUACUAGGGUAAUCACGGGAGAAAGAGUGAGAGUGAUGAGAGGGUUUCGAGAGAGAAGAGAGUGUGCAGAGAAGGAAAGAAA
rnacentral:lncRNA from 1 species